rnacentral:rRNA from 1 species
UACGUAGGGUGCAAGCGUUAAUCGGAAUUACUGGGCGUAAAGGGCGCGUAGGCGGCCACCUCAGUCGGACGUGAAAUCCCCGGGCUCAACCCGGGAACUGCGUCCGAUACUGGGUGGCUAGAGUCCGGGAGAGGGGAGUGGAAUUCCAGGUGUAGCGGUGAAAUGCGUAGAUAUCUGGAGGAACACCGGUGGCGAAGGCGGCUUCCUGGACCGGAACUGACGCUGAGGCGCGAAAGCCAGGGGAGCAAACGGG